ensembl:rRNA 5S_rRNA 5S ribosomal RNA
GUCUAUGGCCACACCACCCUGGACACACCCAAUCCUAUCUGAAUUAGUAAAUUAAGCAGAGUCAGUCUUGGUUAAUACUUGGAUGGGAGACCACCUGAGAAUACCAGGUGCUGUGUAGC